UUGAACACUUUAAUAAUUAAUAUAUUUGCAAAUUGAAAAUGCAGAAUAAUUUGAUAUAGAUACCAAUAUGAAGUUAUAAGACAAUAUUAUUGUUAUUUAAAUAGAACUACAUAUAGCGAAACCUUAACCAAUUUUUUUUAUGAAAGUGCGGAAAACGGGAAUAACUAAAAAUUUGACUACAAGGAAAUACGUUUUUAGAAAAGUCUAGAAAGCUUUAAAAAAUUUUAACCAAAUAUUUAAGUGAAAAUCAUAACAUGUGAUAUCAUAACGACUAACACUGGUGCUAGUGUAGUAAUAUUACCGAGCUGCUAAUGCCGGGAGAGUAGCGAGCCUGGCAACGCUGCUACUUACCCGCUAAACAGACAUACCUAUUUAAAUAGAUGCCUCAUCUUCCUACAAACACUAUCAUAAUAAUAUUUCUUCAUCAACCGCAUUUGACAACCUUGGACAUAGCAUACUGUCUCCAUUCUUGCAUGAAAAAUAAAUUUAAAUCUCGCAACUAAAUCAUGUAGGUAUACCGUGUUCGCACCAAGAAGAUUCGAAGCCAAAAUUGGAAUUGGAACAUAAAUUCCGUCGAAUCGGGCCAUUACAUGCAAAAUAACAGUCUGUUUCCAUACUUGUUGCGCGGGGGACAGAGGGUGGCGUGUCGAGGGUUGUCGAGGGUGGUCGCGGGUUGGCGCAGCGCCAGCGACCUACUUUGCUGAACUUGACACACAGCAAACCCCCUCGCUCAUAUUUAUUACCCAUUAUUUGUGUAUAGAUUUUGGCGACCUUUGUCGUAAAGCCGUUGUCUUGAAAUUGGGAGGUCUUCAGUUUUAAUUUGUGCAACAAAAUGAAGAAGAAAUGAACAAUCGGACUAUAAGGAGACUAUGUACGUCACUUCAGUAUAAGUGGAAGCAAACAGAAUUCUCAAGACCACGAGAAAUUUAGCACAACCACACAAUAUACUGACAAAGAAUAUGUUAACAUAUACUCUUAAUAUACUCGUAAUAUAUAAUGCAGUAGCGUAGUAAUUUGCUUUGUGUAUGCUUCGUGUAAUAUUGGUAGAAGCCAUAUUAGAUAAUUAUUAUGAUAAACUGAGGUUCUACAAGGAAGAUAUGUGACUGUGACCAGGUACAGUACAGUACAGUACAGUUUUACUAAAUGUAUUCGUUGGUAGGAUUAGUAGUUUAUCAAUAGUUCGAGACCUUACAAUUAAAAAUAAGGCUCACUCUUCGACCGUGACGUGCUUGGUCGUCAACUAGAUUGAAUUUGUAUUCCGUAUUUUUAAUUACAAUGUCUUUAUUAAUGUUAGUUUUAACUUACUUUGAUAUCUUUAUAACGUAUCUUAUUGUCGUAUUAAUAGGCGUCUCAUUGAUGUUGACUAAUAAUCCUAGAAAUACUAGAUAUGGAAUAAUAUCUAUUCAAAGGAACUAGUGUGACUUUGCCAUACGAUAUCGACCGUCGAAAGCUUUCAAAGUGAUACGCAGGUAACCAACUAUACUAGCGAUGUGAUUGUCUGGCGUCACUACAGCGCACUGCGAUUGGUUAGCUGCGUCUCACUGCAAAUCGAUUCGAUAGUGAGAUGUGAAUAGCAAAGUCGCACUAUGCCCAUAGUUGUAUUAGUAGUAUUGUGUAAUCUCAGUAGGUAUACUAUAUAAUACUUACUAGGCAUUGAAAGCCUAGAAUAUAAAUUACUUGAUGUUAAUUAUACAACCCUUAUGCCGGCUUCGCACUGUCGUCGAACAGUUUGAUAAACUCUUUUUCUGGAUUCGGUAUACAUUGCUGGAUUCUCAUUGCGGUAAAUAGAAACACUCAUAAUAACUGCGCAAUGUUCACGCAUUCGCAUCGGCAUGUGUGUGAGUUCGGCGGUAGUGUGGAGCUGGCUUUGCGCUCAUAUAGCACAUUAAAUUCAUGUAAUUUCAAUUAUUUAUUACAUAAUAAGUAGUCUUAAAUACAUACGAUAGAUGUCUUUUAUCAAAUAAAUUGUGUAGCUGA